GGCUGGAUAGCUCAGUUGGUAGAGCAACGGAUUGAAAAUCCGUGUGUCGCUGGUUCGAUUCCGGCUCUAGCCACCA
rnacentral:tRNA from 1 species